UGGGUUACGGGGCUUAGUCCUUCCUCCGUAUGGCAAUGACUAGAACCGUUACUCAUC
rnacentral:pre_miRNA from 1 species